rnacentral:rRNA from 1 species
GCCAGACUCCUACGGGAGGCAGCAGUGGGGAAUACUGCACAAUGGGGGAAACCCUGAUGCAGCGACGCCGCGUGAGUGAAGAAGUAUUUCGGUAUGUAAAGCUCUAUCAGCAGGGAAGAAAAUGACGGUACCUGAUUAAGAAGCCCCGGCUAACUACGUGCCAGCAGCCGCGGUAAUACGUAGGGGGCAAGCGUUAUCCGGAUUUACUGGGUGUAAAGGGAGCGUAGACGGUGAUGCAAGUCAGAAGUGAAAGCCCGGGGCUCAACUCCGGGACUGCUUUUGAAACUGUGUGACUGGAGUGCGGGAGAGGUAAGCGGAAUUCCUGGUGUAGCGGUGAAAUGCGUAGAUAUCAGGAGGAACACCAGUGGCGAAGGCGGCUUACUGGACUGUAACUGACGUUGAGGCUCGAAAGCGUGGGGAGCAAACAGGAUUAGAUACCCGAGUA